rnacentral:lncRNA from 1 species
GAAUAGCUAGGGACCAAAAUUCAAAGAGAAAAUGGAUUUUCAGGUGCAGAUUUUCAGCUUCCUGCUAAUCAGUGCCUCAGUCAUAAUGUCCAGAGGACAAAUUGUUCUCACCCAGUCUCCAGCAAUCAUGUCUGCAUCUCCUGGGGAGAAGGUCACCAUGACCUGCAGUGCCAGAUCAAGUGUGUCCAUCUACUAGAUGAAAAAUAGAAAAGAAUAUGAAACUACAAAAUGACCCACGACUUCUAACCCUUGAAGGAACCCGAUUUCGACCUGAAUGUGCGGUAUAUGAGGAGUUUUAGAGCAUUCCUUGGUUUCUGCUGAUAACAAGCUAAUGAUAUAUUAAUCUCCUAACUUGUCAUGCAAUUAAUGGUGACUCCUGUACUUAUGCGGAUGAGUGGGAUGGGGAUUGGGUCAACUUGAUGCCAAAUAUUGUGCUUGUAAUUGGAAUCAUACAAACAAUAUACUUGUUUAAUCAAGACAAAAAUGAUUUCUCUGAAGUUCCAAGUCAUGAUUGCAAAUGGUUAAAGAAUACACAUAGUCAUCCUUCAAUAAUUGCGAUCAAAAUCAGCAAGGACACCAAAAACUGGGAGGGAAGCUUUAUGACUGUACUGUAACCAGACAUUGAUUGACUCCUGGAUAGGGUACAACAAGACCAACAAACAGUUCCAAGUGAGAAUAGUGGACCGAACCAAAUAAUCAGGGCCUGGGAAGGGCUAAUUUUUCUUAGUAACUCUACUGUGCUGUGCCCGGGUCUCCCAUAAUAGAAUAUUGAAAAAUUUGCUGCCAAUUAUUUUUGCCAAUGGCAGACCUCAUUAUGAAAGAUUUUUUGAUACAUUUUCAGCAUUGUAAUAGAUAUUGGCACUGGUGAUAUUUCAUUUUCUCCUCUAUAUGAGUAACAUGAAGAGAACAACUGUUUGCAACUUGAACACUUACUCACAAAUGUUUAUACUUAUAGCACUUCUAUCAGGAGGAUGUCAGUUCACUUAUUGUACCAAAUAAAUCAUGGCGGCAGGAUGUGGGGAUGGGGUGGAGAUUGUCAUUUACCAAGUGCACUUAAACAAUGUAGCCAUUUGAAACAUCCCUAUAGUAAAUUUUCAUUUUUAAUUCUAUGUCAUUUGUUGAACCAUCUUGGGAAAAUGUACAGGUUUUAUUCUUACUAAACCACUGAAUAGACU